GAUGAACGCUAGCGACAGGCUUAACACAUGCAAGUCGAGGGGCAGCAGGGAGUAGCAAUACUCCGCUGGCGACCGGCGCACGGGUGCGUAACGCGUAUGCAACCUACCCAUAAGAGGGGAAUAACCCGGCGAAAGUCGGACUAAUACCCCAUAACGCAGGGAUCCCGCAUGGGAAUAUUUGCUAAAGGAGUGAUCCGCUUAUGGAUGGGCAUGCGUUCCAUUAGGUAGUUGGUUGGGGUAACGGCCCACCAAGCCUACGAUGGAUAGGGGUUCUGAGAGGAAGGUCCCCCACACUGGUACUGAGACACGGACCAGACUCCUACGGGAGGCAGCAGUGAGGAAUAUUGGUCAAUGGACGAGAGUCUGAACCAGCCAAGUCGCGUGAAGGAUGACUGCCCUACGGGUUGUAAACUUCUUUUAUGGGGGAAUAAGAAAAGCCACGUGUGGCUUAGUGCAUGUACCCCACGAAUAAGCAUCGGCUAACUCCGUGCCAGCAGCCGCCGUAAAAC
rnacentral:rRNA from 1 species